rnacentral:tRNA from 1 species
GGGGUUGUGGCUCAGAGGCAGAGCGCUCACCUAGCACGCGUGAGGCACUGGGUUCGAUCCUCAGCACCACA